UACGGAGGGGGCUAGCGUUGUUCGGAAUUACUGGGCGUAAAGCGCACGUAGGCGGCUUUGUAAGUUAGAGGUGAAAGCCCGGGGCUCAACUCCGGAAUUGCCUUUAAGACUGCAUCGCUAGAAUUGUGGAGAGGUAAGUGGAAUUCCGAGUGUAGAGGUGAAAUUCGUAGAUAUUCGGAAGAACACCAGUGGCGAAGGCGACUUACUGGACCAGUACCGACGUUCAGGCACGAAAGCGUGGGGAGCAAACAGG
rnacentral:rRNA from 1 species